rnacentral:rRNA from 1 species
GAUGAACGCUGGCGGCGUGCUUAACACAUGCAAGUCGAACGGAAAGGCCGAAGCUUGCUUCGGUACUCGAGUGGCGAACGGGUGAGUAACACGUGGGUGAUCUGCCCUGUACUUCGGGAUAAGCUGGGGAAACUGGGUCUAAUACCGGAUAUGACGAUCUCUUGGAUGGGGUUGUGGAAAGCUUUUGCGGUAUGGGAUGAGCUCGCGGCCUAUCAGCUUGUUGGUGGGGUAAUGGCCUACCAAGGCGUCGACGGGUAGCCGGCCUGAGAGGGUGUACGGCCACAUUGGGACUGAGAUACGGCCCAGACUCCUACGGGAGGCAGCAGUGGGGAAUAUUGCACAAUGGGCGCAAGCCUGAUGCAGCGACGCCGCGUGGGGGAUGACGGCCUUCGGGUUGUAAACUCCUUUCGCAAUCGACGAAGCCUUUUGGUGACGGUAGGUUGAGAAGAAGCACCGGCUAACUACGUG